AUUGAACGCUGGCGGCAGGCCUAACACAUGCAAGCCGAACGGUAACAGGAAGAAGCUUGCUUCUUUGCUGACGAGUGGCGGACGGGUGAGUAAUGUCUGGGAAACUGCCUGAUGGAGGGGGAUAACUACUGGAAACGGUAGCUAAUACCGCAUAACGUCGCACGACCAAAGAGGGGGACCUUCGGGCCUCUUGCCAUCGGAUGUGCCCAGAUGGGAUUAGCUUGUUGGUGGGGUAACGGCUCACCAAGGCGACGAUCCCUAGCUGGUCUGAGAGGAUGACCAGCCACACUGGAACUGAGACACGGUCCAGACUCCUACGGGAGGCAGCAGUGGGGAAUAUUGCACAAUGGGCGCAAGCCUGAUGCAGCCAUGCCGCGUGUAUGAAGAAGGCCUUCGGGUUGUAAAGUACUUUCAGCGGGGAGGAAGGGAGUAAAGUUAAUACCUUUGCUCAUUGACGUUACCCGCAGAAGAAGCACCGGCUAACUCCGUG
rnacentral:rRNA from 1 species